UACGUAGGGAGCAAGCGUUGUCCGGAAUCAUUGGGCGUAAAGCGCGCGUAGGCGGCCCCGUAAGUCCGCUGUGAAAGUCAAAGGCUCAACCUCGUGGAAGCUGGUAAUACUGUCAGGCUCGAGUGCAGGAGAGGUUAACGGAACUCCAUGUGGAGCGGUAAAAUGUGUAGAUAUAUGGAAGAACACCAAGAACGGCGAAGGCAGUUAACUAUUCUGUUACUGACAUUGAGGCACGAAAGCGUGGGGAGCAAAACGG
rnacentral:rRNA from 1 species